GGCUCAGUAGGUUGGUCGUGCCACCGGUACGUACUGGUCUCACUGAUUCCUCCUUCCUGAAGAACCGUAAUGCCAUUAAUUUGGUGUGGCGGGGAAACAGGACUGUUACUUUGAAAAAAUUAGAGUGUUUAAAGCAAGCUAACGCUUGAAUACAUGAGCAUGGAAUAAUGAAAUAGGACGAUCGAUCCUAUUUUGUUGGUUUCUAGGAUUGACGUA
rnacentral:rRNA from 1 species